UAGGAGCCAAUAAUCGGAAUUUCUAACUCUGUAAAAACUAAAGAUUUUUAGUACUUCUAG
rnacentral:tRNA from 1 species